rnacentral:rRNA from 1 species
GACAGAGGGUGCAAACGUUGUUCGGAAUUACUGGGCGUAAAGCGCGUGUAGGCUGCUCCGCAAGUCGGGUGUGAAAGCCCUGGGCUCAACCUAGGAAGUGCACUCGAAACUGCAGAGCUGGAGUCCUGGAGAGGAAGGCGGAAUUCUCGGUGUAGAGGUGAAAUUCGUAGAUAUCGAGAGGAACACCGGUGGCGAAGGCGGCCUUCUGGACAGUGACUGACGCUGAGACGCGAAAGCGUGGGGAGCAAACAGG